rnacentral:lncRNA from 1 species
AAAUAGUUGUUAAUAUCUUACCACAUUCCCUUUAUUCUCCUAGUGUAAUAGAGACAUAAACAUUUUCCUGAAUAUUUGAGGGUUGGUAAUAGACACUAUGUCACUUAGUCACAAAUCAAAAUCAUCACCUUGUCUCCUCAUAGGAAGUGAAGUGUGUUUUCCUACAUAAUAUUAAUUAUCAAGUAGGAAAUUUGACAUUGAUGGAAUAUGUUAUUGAGUAUAUAGUCUCAUAUUUUCAAAAAUCAUCUUAGAACUUUAAAAAAUUGCUACGACUAGGAAGCAUACAUUUCAGAAUUUCAGAAAUAAUUAUGUUUUCCAUUUAGUAAUUAUGUAGCCUUUUAAAUUUUUUCUUUCUUUCUUUAUGUCUUUCACAACAUCAAAAGAUUCUGAAGUGCCCAAUGCAGUUUUUCUUUUUAAUUUCCAGGGUCUUUAUCUUAACAGAGGUAGCACUGGGUUAACCAUUUUGGGGUUCACUUCAAGGCUGAUGAUAUGGUGAAAGUUAAUGAUGUGGAUGCUGUCUACAGAUUGCCUCAUUGUGAAAGUACCUUUCUCACCUUGUAAUAUAUUCAGAAUGAAGCAUUGAAACUAAUCAAUUUCUUAUCUUCUAUUGAUACUAUUUUCCUAGUAAGCAUUCUUCUGUACAGAACUUUUGACUCCAUUUUAAAAUAUUUUUAAUCUACCCUCCUCUUGUCAGAAUAGAUUCUAGAAUGAAUUCUUUCACCCGUUGUGUUCAUUUUUGUAUUCAAAGAUCCCUCCAUUCUUUGCAAGCUGGAGCCUUUUAAGACGACUUCCAUAAACAACUGGAACACUCCCAUUGUUUAGUACCUUUAUACGUUAUGGUACAGGGCAGUGUGCUUGCUUGCCUUUUUUGUCUCCAUGUGUGUGCUCUUCAGUUCUUUGCUUGUCAUAAAGCUUUACUUAAUUUACAACGUUAACAUUUCAAGCACUUUAUCUGUUUACUUGUGUAUAUCUGUGCACACACAUGUAUCUCACAGUACACACAUAUAGUUCCAAGGACAACGUGUGGAAGUCAGUUCUUUGUUUGCACCAUGUGGAUCUUGGGGAUAUAAAACUCAGAUCAUCAGACCCAGUGGUGGCAACCAUCUGUACCCCUGUACCAUCUGACCAACCUUCAGCCAUUUAAAAGAAAACAUUUUUUAAAGAUUUAUUUAUUUUAUGUAUAUGGAUUCACUGUAGCUGAACAGAUGGUUGUGACCCUUGAAUUUUUAGGACCUCUGCUCACUCUGGUCAAGCCCCCUCACUCCAGUUGGCCCUGCUCACUCAGUCCCUACUCAAUCCGGCCCCCAAAUUUUUAUUAUUAUAAGUACACUGUAGCUGUCUUUAGACGUGCCAGAAGAGGCUGUCACAUCUCAUUAUGGGUGUUUGUGAGCCACCAUGUGGUUGCUGGGAGUUGAACUCAGGACCUUCGGAAGAGCAGUCAGUGCUCUUAACCACUAAGCCAUCUCACCAGCCCCAUCCUUUAGCCAUUUUAUUGGAAUAAUUUUGCUGGUUACUUUUUGUCUUAGGUUUUUAUUGCUGUUCAGAGACAUUAUGACUAUGACAAUUCUUAUAAAGGAGAACAUUUAAUUGGGGCUGGCUUACAGUUUCAGAAGUUUAGUUCAUUAUCAUAAUGGUGAGAAACAUGGCAUGAUACAGGCAGAUAUAGGCUAGAGAAGGUGCUGAGAGUUCUAGAUUUUUUUUAAAGAUUUAUUUAUUUUAUGUAUGAGUACACUAUUGCUCUCUUCAGACACACCAGAGGAGGGCAUCAGACCUCAUUACAGAUGGUUGUAAGUUACCAUGUGAUUGCUGGGAAUUGAACCCAGAACCUCUGGAAGAACAGUCAGUGCUCUUAACCAUUGAGCCAUCUCUCUAGGCCUGAGAGUUCUAGAUCUUAAUCUGAAGGCAGCAGGAAGAGACUGUGUGCCACACUGGGCUGUGGCUUGAGCAUGGGAGACCUCAAAGCCUGUCCCCACAGUGACAGCACUUCUCCAACAAAGCCACAUCUACUCCAACAAGGCCAUGCCUCCUAAUAGUGCCACUUCCUAUUGGCUAUGCAUUUAAACACAUGAUUCCAGGGGCCAUUGUUAUUCAAACCACCAUACUUUUUGAGCAAGUGUGUGUGUGUUUGUGUGUGUGUGUGUGUGUGUGUGUGUGUGUGUGUGUGUGUGUGUGGUACAUGCUCACGCACAUGCAUACAGCACAUGUAUAGUGAUCAGAGGACUUCUCUCAGAGAUUUCCUCUCCUCUCUUGCAGGAUGAGGAGACUGAACUUGGCUUGCUUGGAUUACUUUGCUAAUAACUUGGCUUAUAGAAAAACUCCCUAGCAUCUCUGUGGGACUGUACUAGUACACAACCAGUAACCUGCUAAGUUCCCAAGUGUGUGGCUGGUGUUCUGUAAGUAUCUCAGUUUCAUUGUGUUUACCACGAAAAGGGAAACCUAGGUCAUUCUCUUUCUUGUGCUUCUUGUUUUAUUCAGGUGCUGGUCUUUCCUGUCCAUUUCCCUGCCACGCAUCUUCUCAUAACCUUUAUCUGAUAGGUUCUUUGCAUUCAUUCUCUUGCUCUCUUGUGUUCCAGGUCUCUUUUCAGCCUAGGGAAUAAGGAAAUUUCCUGCAAAGUCCCAGGGGUGGUACUGGUUUUCAGGCAAGGCUUUGUACAAGAACAUAGUUUAGGGUUUGUUUGCUUAUUUUCCACCCUAUCUUUGAUAUGCUUUCCUCUGCCUUUUUCCUCGUCCACCUUCCUUUCUCUCCAUGAGCACAGAAAUGGGCACAGGCGGUUCAAGCAGUCUCCUGCACAUGCUAUUUCCCUUAGUGCCUUCAUGGGUGCUUACUUACCAAGUUCCUUUUCAUCCUCUAGCUGGCAAACCCAGGUCACAUCACACAGUAGCCCAGGAAAUGCUCUUAUUGAUAGCUUAUUGUUUCUUCCUCUUUUUCUUCUUUUUUUGGGGGGGGGUGGGUUGGGGUGAAGGGCUGAGCAUCAAAGUCUGUGCUCUCUACUACUGAGCUAAACCCCAGGGUAACUCCUUUUUCCUCCCCCCUUGUCUCUUUUCAUCUUCCUUUCUACCCUUUUCUUUCUCUCCAUUUCUCUCCUUUUAUUCUUCCUUCUGACACAAUCUCAUUCUGUAGCCCAGGCUAGCCUUGAAAUUAAGAUUCCCAUUAGAAGUUGCUGCUUGCUAGGAUACCAGGUGUGCACUGUCCUGCCCGACUACCCUCGUUCCCUUUUUGAUAGACCACAAUAUAGAUGUGUAAAGAAGAACAAAUACAAAAAUGGGCUUGGUUGUGCAUUCCGUUAAUGGACAUCCCAUCCUGUCCUGCUGAGCACACUUAGAAAAGUAGAACUUCAAGAAAUUGAUUACGGCUGGAGGGGUGGCUCAGCGGUUAAGAGGACUGACUGCUCUUCCUGAGGUCCUAAGUUCAAUUCCCAGCAACCACAUGGUGGCUCACAACCAUCUGUAAUGGGGUUUGAUGCCCUUUUUUGGUGUGUCUGAAGAGAGCUACGGUGUACUUUUUCUUUUCUUUUUUUUUUUCUUUUUAAAAAGAUUUAUUUCAUGUAUGUGAGCACACUGUUGUGCUCUUAACCGCUGAGCCUUCUCUCCAGCCCCCAAUAAAGAAACUGAUUAGAAGAAACUGAAGAGCUAACAAGACAGAACAUGCCAAAAUC